rnacentral:rRNA from 1 species
CCUACGGGUGGCAGCAGUAGGGCAUCUUCCACAAUGGGCGCAAGCCUGAUGGAGCAACACCGCGUGAGUGAAGAAGGGUUUCGGCUCGUAAAGCUCUGUCGUCGGAGAAGAACGUUCGCUAGAGUAACUGUCCAUGCAUUGACGGUAUCCACCCAGCAAGUCACGGCUAACUACGUGCCAGCAGCCGCGGUAAUACGUAGGUGGCAAGCGUUAUCCGGAAUUAUUGGGCGUAAAGCGAGCGCAGGCGGUUGCUUAGGUCUGAUGUGAAAGCCUUCGGCUUAACCGAAGAAGUGCAUCGGAAACCGGGCAACUUGAGUGCAGAAGAGGACAGUGGAACUCCAUGUGUAGCAGUGGAAUGCGUAGAUAUAUGGAAGAACACCAGUGGCGAAGGCGGCUGUCUGGUCUGCAACUGACGCUGAGGCUCGAAAGCAUGGGUAGCGAACAGGAUUAGAUACCCGAGUAGUC